rnacentral:rRNA from 1 species
GAUGAACGCUAGCGGCAGGCUUAACACAUGCAAGUCGAACGCGAAAGGGCUUCGGCCUGAGUAGAGUGGCGGACGGGUGAGUAAUGCGUGGGAAUCUACCCUAGAGCGGGGGACAACCCGGGGAAACUCGGGCUAAUACCGCAUACGUCCUACGGGAGAAAGGGGGCCUCUGAAUGUAAGCUCCCACUCCAGGAUGAGCCCACGUCCGAUUAGCUAGUUGGUAGGGUAAAGGCCUACCAAGGCCACGAUCGGUAGCUGGUCUGAGAGGUUGGCCGGCCACACUGGGACUGAGACACGGCCCAGACACCUACGGGUGGCAGCAGUAGGGAAUCUUGGACAAUGGGCGCAAGCCUGAUCCAGCCAUGCCGCGUGGGCGACGACGGUCUUCGGACUGUAAAGCCCUUUUCUCGGGGACGAACCCCCUCCGGAGGCAAUGCCGGGGGGCUGACGGUACCCGCGGAAUAAGCAACGGCUAACUCCGUG